UGGGCGCAAGCCUGAUGCAGCCAUGCCGCGUGUAUGAAGAAGGCCUUCGGGUUGUAAAGUACUUUCAGUCAGUGAGAAGUGGGUAUGUUAAUAGCAUAUUCAUUUGACGUUAGCUGCAGAAGAAGCACCGGCUAACUCCGUGCCAGCAGCCGCGGUAAUACGGAGGGUGCGAGCGUUAAUCGGAAUUACUGGGCGUAAAGCGCAUGCAGGUGGUUUGUUAAGUCAGAUGUGAAAGCCCGGGGCUCAACCUCGGAAUUGCAUUUUGAAAACUGGCAAACUAGAGUACUGUAGAGGGGGUAGAAUUUCAGGUGUAGCGGUGAAAUGCGUAGAGAUCUGAAGGAAUACCGGUGGCGAAGGCGGCCCCCCUGGACCAGAUAACUGACACUCAGAUGCGAAAGACGUGGGGAGCAAACAGGAUUAGAUACCCUCGGUAG
rnacentral:rRNA from 1 species